rnacentral:rRNA from 1 species
UACGUAGGGGGCAAGCGUUGUCCGGAAUCAUUGGGCGUAAAGCGCGUGUAGGCGGUCCGGUAAGUCCGCUGUGAAAGUCGAGGGCUCAACCUCGAAUGCCGGUGGAUACUGUCGGGCUUGAGUACGGGAGAGGCGAGUGGAAUUCCUGGUGUAGCGGUGAAAUGCGCAGAUAUCAGGAGGAACACCGAUUGCGAAGGCAGCUCGCUGGAACGUUACUGACGCUGAGACGCGAAAGCGUGGGGAGCAAACAGG